rnacentral:rRNA from 1 species
AGGUAGCGAAAUUCCUUGUCGGGUAAGUUCCGACCUGCACGAAUGGUGCAACGAUCUGGGUACUGUCUCAACCACGAGCUCGGUGAAAUUGUAGUUCCGGUGAAGAUGCCGGAUACCCGCAACGGGACGAAAAGACCCCGUGAACCUUUACUAUAGCUUCACAUUGAUAUUGGGUAAAUAAUGUGUAGGAUAGCUGGGAGACUCUGAAGCUGCGUCGUCAGGCACAGUGGAGUCGUUGGUGAAAUACCAGCCUUUAUUUAUUUGAUGUCUAACCCUGAAAAGGAGACAGUGUGUGGUGGGUAGUUUGACUGGGGUGGUCGCCUCCAAAAAAGUAACGGAGGCUUUCAAAGGUGCCCUCAGCACGCUUGGUAACCGUGCACAGAGUGCAAUAGCAUAAGGGUGCUUGACUGUGAGGCUCACAAGCCGAUCAGGUAGGAAACUAGGAUAUAGUGAUCCGGCGGUUCUGUAUGGAAAGGCCGUCGCUCAAAGGAUAAAAGGUACUCCGGGGAUAACAGGCUGAUCUCCCCCAAGAGCUCAUAUCGACGGGGAGGUUUGGCACCUCGAUGUCGGCUCGUCACAUCCCGGGGCUGGAGAAGGUCCCAAGGGUUGGGCUGUUCGCCCAUUAAAGUGGCACGCGAGCUGGGUUCAGAACGUCGUGAGACAGUUCGGUCUCUAUCUGUUGUGGGCGUAAGAAACUUGAAUAAAUCUGACCUUAGUACGAGAGGACCGGGUUGGACUAACCGCUGGUGUACCAGUUGUUCUGCCAAGGGCACUGCUGGGUAGCUAUGUUGGGAAGGGAUAAGCACUGAAAGCAUCUAAGUGCGAAACCCGCUAUAAGAUGAGGUUUCUUUUAAGGGACGUUCCAGAUGAGGACGUAGAUAGGCUGUAAGUGUAAAGGCAGUAAUGUCAAAGCUAAGCAGUACUAAUUACCCGUAAACUUUCUGAA